AUGCAUUUGUGCGUAUAUGCUACUUGGUGGUGGAUUGUCUGUUCCCUAAUCAGUUAAGAAAUUGUAGAGUAAAUGAUCGUGAGCUGUGUAUUCACCUGUAAAGUUUCAAGUGAGGGAAAACCAAAUGGAGGAAAUGCUGAUCAACUAUGUCUGAAGGAAAUAUUGACCGAUCAUGGAGAAGUUUUUGUACAGAAUCAGGUGCAGUAACAAGGGAGCACUGAAUGCUGCACUAAUAAGUCCCCAGGGACCAUUGGAGGUGCUAUCUGACCCCAUGCUGGAAGUAGCUGGCCCACUAUUCAAGACAAGGCAGGGAAGGUAGCCACGUCUCGUGCUGUUGUCCAUAAAAGAAAGGAUGUGCACCAAUGAUAUGGAGAUACUUGUCAUGCACUAUAUCCACGAAUU